rnacentral:tRNA from 1 species
GCCUGGGUGGCUCAGUGGUUUAGCAUCUGCCUUUGGCCCAGGAUGUGAUCCUGGAGUCCUGGGAUCGAGUCCCACUUCAGGCU